AGCCUUCUGUAUCCGUGCUGAGGUUUAGUCAUAAACUAGAUCACAAGGGCUGAUGUGACACCCGAGAUAAGUGAAGCA
rnacentral:pre_miRNA from 1 species